rnacentral:rRNA from 1 species
GACGAACGCUGGCGGCGUGCUUAACACAUGCAAGUCGAACGGAAAGGCCCUGCUUUUGUGGGGUGCUCGAGUGGCGAACGGGUGAGUAACACGUGAGUAACCUGCCCUUGACUUUGGGAUAACUUCAGGAAACUGGGGCUAAUACCGGAUAGGAGCUCCUGCUGCAUGGUGGGGGUUGGAAAGUUUCGGCGGUUGGGGAUGGACUCGCGGCUUAUCAGCUUGUUGGUGGGGUAGUGGCUUACCAAGGCUUUGACGGGUCGCCGGCCUGAGAGGGUGACCGGCGACAUUGGGACUGAGAUACGGCCCAGACUCCUACGGGAGGCAGCAGUGGGGAAUAUUGCACAAUGGGCGGAAGCCUGAUGCAGCAACGCCGCGUGCGGGAUGACGGCCUUCGGGUUGUAAACCGCUGUCGCCUGUGACGAAGCGUGAGUGACGGUAAUGGGUAAAGAAGCACCGGCUAACUACGUG